ACGCUGGCGGCACGCUUACACCUGCAGUCGAGCGGAACUUUGGGGAUUGAGGCUUCGGCCAAAUGAACCUUUGUUUAGCGGCGGACGGGUGAGUAACACGUGGGUAACCUACCCUAUACUGGGGGAUAACGUAGAGAAAUUUACGCUAAUACCGCAUAAGCUUACAGGAAGGCAUCUUUCGGUGAGAAAAGAUUUAUUGGUAUAGGAUGGGCCCGCGUCUGAUUAGCUGGUUGGUGAGGUAACGGCCCACCAAGGCGACGAUCAGUAGCCGGUCUGAGAGGAUGGACGGCCACAUUGGGACUGAGACACGGCCCAGACUCCUACGGGAGGCAGCAGUGGGGAAUAAUGCACAAUGGGGGAAACCCUGAUGCAGCGAUGCCGCGUGAAGGAUGAAGUGUUUCGGCAUGUAAACUUACUAUCAGCAAGGAAGAAAAUGACAGUACUUGACUAAGCAGCCCCGGCUAACUACGUGCCAGCAGCCGCGGUAAUACGUAGGGGGCAAGCGUUAUCCGGAAUUACUGGGUGUAAAGGGUGCGUAGGCGGCACAUUAAGUCAGCUGUGAAACCCCGGUGCUCAACACCGGGCUUGCAGUUGAAACUGGUGAGCUAGAGUACAGGAGGGGAAAGCGGAAUUACUAGUGUAGCGGUGAAAUGCGUAGAUAUUAGUAAGAACACCGGUGGCGAAGGUCGGCUUUCUGGACUGAAACGUGAACUUUGAGUCCACCUGAAAGCGUUGGGGAGCAAACAGGAUUAGAUACCCUUGGUUAGUUCCACGCCGUGUAAACGAUGAAUGCUAAGUGUAUUAGGAGGUUAAACUCUCGGUGCCGCAGCUUACGCAAUAAGCAUUCCACCUGGGGAGUACGACCGCAAGGUUGAAACUCAAAGGAAUUGACGGGGCCCCGCACAAGCGGUGGAGCAUGUGGUUUAAUUCGAUGCAACGCGAAGAACCUUACCAAGUCUUUGACAUAGGGAUGGAUAUUGCAGAGAUGUAAUAGUCCUUCGGGACGUCCCAUACAGGUGGUGCAUGGUUUGUCGUCAGCUCGUGUCGUGAGAUGUUGGGUUAAGUCCCGCAACGAGCGCAACCCUUAUGUUCAGUAGCCAGCGGUUCGGCCGGGCACUCUGGACAGACUGCCGUGGAUAACACGGAGGAAGGUGGGGAUGACGUCAAAUCAUCAUGCCCCUUAUGACUUGGGCUACACACGUGCUACAAUGGCCGGCACAAAGGGAAGCGAAGGCGCGAGCCGGAGCAAAGCUCAAAAAGCCGGUCCCAGUUCGGAUUGUAGUCUGCAACCCGACUACAUGAAGCUGGAAUCGCUAGUAAUCGCAGAUCAGCAUGCUGCGGUGAAUACGUUCCCGGGGCUUGUACACACCGCCCGUCAAACCAUGGGAGUCUGGAGCACCCGAAGUCAGUGGCCCAACCGCAAGGA
rnacentral:rRNA from 1 species